rnacentral:lncRNA from 1 species
GGAUUUCUAAAAUUGUUUGUUUACUCAUGUACAUUGUUUGCAUCUGUGAAUAUAUUUUUAUAUUUAGGGAUUUUCCAUUGCCUCUAGAAAGUUGUUUGUUUCAUCCAACGCUUAUGUGUGGUUUUGCAACUACUAAUUUCUGUUAUCUCUAUGUUUGUUGGUGUAUGGCUGCUGCUUUUGCCUUCAUGGGAAAUGAUUAGGCAGGCUGACUACAUAGUAAUUGUUAGUACUCUUUGAUGAUAGAGAAGUAAAGAACUUGUUGUUACUGCAAACUCAGGCUAUGCUAUUGAAAAUGACAUCAGGGGACAGGUAUAUUGAACAUGUGUUGAUCCACUAAUGAUUAGUUUGUUCUUCAGUAACUUCUUCUUCAGUAUCAUAGUUAGUAAACAUAUGAGGUUUGGCAAGUUAGUAUUUACCAUUGAUGCUUGAAAUAAAUAGCAUGACUGGUGUUGCACCAUGUGUGUGUAGGUUUUUCCU